AGAGGUGUUUAUGCUCUUUCAGAUGAUAGAGUGUCGGCAGAAUCCCGGACACAUUGGGUGUGAUAUUCCCUUGUAAGAUAUAAAGAUAACAUAAAUUGAAGUUAAGUAACAUGGAAUAAAAUUAACAAAAGUAAUGAAUAAAACUAAACAUAAAAUAUAAUCCUAACUUAAAUAGUUGCUAUAUAGUAAGUUAAUGCAAGACCUUUAAACAUAUCUAUGAGUGAUAUUAUUAUUCAUAUUUCCUUUGGUUUCUUUACUUAUUAAAGUUGUCAGAAGACAAAAAUACGGAUAAAAACAAGAUGACAACAUCAGUCUAACAACAGAUACAAACAGAAGAGAGCUAGCAACAGAAGAGAUGAGCAAGAGAACUACCAAAGGGAUGCUAAGCUCAAUUCUAACUAAAAAAAAAUAUUUUUUUUCUUCUCCUGUAUUAUUUGAAUUUUCCAAUCACAUCAAACUGAAGAGAAGAUUUGAAUUGAAAGUCAACUUUUCAUUUGUUGAAAUAGAUAUUCUCUCUUAUAUUGGAUUGAUAGAGAAAACUAUCAGAAUGAAGUUAUGCCGAUUUACUUUGAUCAGGAUCUAUGUCUUCAAGCCGUUGGAUCUCUUGGUUUGUUUCUCCUAGAUCGGGUGGGCUUUCUUUUGAGAGAAAGGUCAUAGCAUAUCAAUGAAAUAUAGCUUAGGGCCAUGUCAGGGUCUGGCAUCUAAUAAAAAAAUUUUUUCAUGGUGCUGGGCCUGGUCCAGCAAUCCCUAUCCUUCACCAUCUGGCUCCCUCCAUGGGUGUGGGUGUUGCCCAUAGUUGAAAUUGAUCUUUCCCUUAAGCAAUCUAUCAGAUAGGAUAGAGACAUAAAACAAAAUAGAAAAAAAAUCCCAAAAUCCUGCUUCACCUAAUAAAGUGAUUCUGAAGUGAUAUAAUUCUCUUAGAAAAUUAUGUAGCCAAAAUAGAGAGAAUCUAAACUUUUAAGGGGUGCAUUUGCUGAUUAAGAUAUCAUAAAAGGAUGACUUAAAAUUAAGCCGAUUUUCUUAGUAAAUCAGCUUUCAUUGGCUGUUAUA
rnacentral:lncRNA from 1 species